rnacentral:rRNA from 1 species
CCUACGGGAGACAGCAGUAGGGAAUCUUUCACAAUGGGCGAAAGCCUGAUGGAGCAACGCCGCGUGCAGGAUGAAGGCCUUCGGGUUGUAAACUGCUUUUAUAAGCGAGAAAUAUGAUGGUAACUUAUGAAUAAGGAUCGGCUAACUACGUGCCAGCAGCCGCGGUCAUACGUAGGAUCCGAGCAUUAUCCGGAGUGACUGGGUGUAAAGAGUUGCGUAGGUGGCAUAAUAAGUAGCUAGUGAAAACUGGUGGCUAAACCAUUCAGACUAUUAGCUAAACUGUUAAGCUCGAGACCGUUAGGGGUAACUGGAAUUUCUAGUGUAGGAGUGAAAUCCGUAGAUAUUAGAAAGAACACCAAUAGCGUAGGCAGGUUGCUGGGACGGUUCUGACACUAAGGCACGAAAGCGUAGGGAGCAAACGGGAUUAGAUACCCCAGUAGUC